UCAUCCAUGCUCAUCGAAGAGUAGCUUCUUUCAACCUCUCUGCCAUCUGCCUGGCAUGCCUGGGAGGGACGCCAAAGCACAUGGCUACCGAGGAGGGCAAAGCACAUGGCAACUGAGAAGGGCAAAGCACAUGGCAACUGAGGAGGUCGGUAGCCAGAGGGUGGAGGUGAUGUCCAAGCCAACGAAGCUGAUGUCUGAUGGGAGAGGUCCUGGAUGCUGACUAUGCCUAGCUAUAUAGGUUUUCAUCAGUAACCCAGAUGCUGCUUUUGAUGCCGAAAUGCCGUGAAUCUGCACCACUUUAUCAGACAGGACCGGAUGAGUAAGUUUUCCUCUCUCAAAAUUCAUCAAAAGCCUGUCACACUAGCACAAGAAGAGGAACACAUGUUUCAGUUGUCACAACUUUUCCUCUAUCGACAUACGUUGAAAGGCUGUUACCAGUACCACAAAAAGAAGAGCACAUGUCUUUCAGUGGUUGUCCCAACUUGUCCUCUAUCAAAAUUCGUUGAAAGCCUGUCAUCAUGUAGGAAGAGGAACACAUGUGUUUCAGGUUUUCCUGCUCUUACCAAGAAGACGUUGCUCUUGAUCCUGGAAUGCCCUGAAACUGCACCACUUUGUGAUGACAUCAAACAUCAGAGAAACUACAUCCAAGGUGCCUUGGGCCUAUUUAGAAUGUACUAGGCUGUUAAAUGAGAAAAAAAGGUUAAAUGGGCAAUUCCAUGCUGGUUGACACACAAGACCAAAAAAUAAACAAAUUUAUCGUUUGUUCAAGUUUGAUUCGCUGAAGAGACACAAUAUAACGUGGCAUUUUUAAAACUGAAAUAUAGUCUAGUCCUAUGUGCGCACUGUUUUGUGAGUUACGUACGGUACACCAUCACAUCAAAGUCUGCAAUGACGUCAUGAUGACUUAUGGAUGCACUGGUGAGGAAUUUUUAAUUAGUCUUUUGCUAUCUAUACAGUUAUAUUUCAAUUUGCUAUGUUACCGUUUUGAAGGCGUCUUUGUGAAAAUGGAUGUUAUUUUUCAGUUUUCAAUUUUAGUCAGAUUUUGCUUGUAAUAUGAGAUAUAUAUUGAAUGAUUUGAAAGCCAUCAAAAGUGAUUUUAUGUAAAUGGCUACAUUUCCUAACCAAUGAAAUAUUCAGUUAACUUUCCUUAGCUUGAGUUCUCAGAAGUGUUAAAAAACGAUUUGUCAGAAGUUUUUGUUUUUAUACUUAGGCCAGCCAUGAAAUAUUGUAAUAGUAUUGGGCAUGUGUAAUGUCAUGCAGUCACAUUAUUGCACAGUCUGUACUCCAUAAUUGAGGAAUGAAAUAAAAAAUAUAUUUGUUUUGCUUUUGGGCACAAGUAGUCUAUCAUUGUCCAUUCUGAUGGGGUGGGGUGGGGUGGGGGAAGUCUUCCCUGUGAGAACUGAAUUAUUGUUUGGCACCAAAUAGUUUAAUAUUCAUAAUUCCUUAUUACUAACGUUGGCUGAUUUUAUAUUUGUUGAUUUUAUAUUUGUUGUUGGUUCAUUGGAUAUCUUAGGAAGUGCUACAGAAACAGGAAUUAAAAUU